UGGGGAAUAUUGGACAAUGGGCGAAAGCCUGAUCCAGCCAUGCCGCGUGUGUGAAGAAGGUCUUCGGAUUGUAUAGCACUUUAAGUUGGGAGGAAGGGCAGUAAGCGAAUACCUUGCUGUUUUGACGUUACCGACAGAAUAAGCACCGGCUAACUCUGUGCCAGCAGCCGCGGUAAUACAGAGGGUGCAAGCGCUAAUCGGAAUUACUGGGCGUAAAGCGCGCGUAGGUGGUUCGUUAAGUUGAAUGUGAAAGCCCCGGGCUCAACCUGGGAACUGCAUCCAAAACUGGCGAGCUAGAGUAGGGCAGAGAGUGGUGGAAGUUCCUGUGUAGCGGUGAAAUGCGUAGAUAUAGGAAGGAACACCAGUGGCGAAGGCGACCACCUGGGCUCAUACUGACACUGAGGUGCGAAAGCGUGGGGAGCAAACAGG
rnacentral:rRNA from 1 species